rnacentral:rRNA from 1 species
UACGUAGGUGGCAAGCGUUUGUCCGGAUUUACUGGGCGUAAGGGGCGUGCAGGCGGUCUGCUAAGUCUAGGGUGAAAGCUCCCGGCUCAACUGGGAGAGGUCCUUGGAUACUGACAGACUUGAGGGAGGCAGAGGAGAAUGGAAUUCCCGGUGUAGUGGUGAUAUGCGUAGAUAUCGGGAGGAACACCAGUGGCGAAGGCGGUUCUCUGGGCCUUACCUGACGCUGAGACGCGAAAGCGUGGGGAGCGAACCGGG